ACACAAAAGAACAAGAACAAACCACCCACCCUCAUACUUUCUCUCUGUGUCUUUCUCCUCUUUGUCUUUUCUCUUUUCUCUUUCUCUCUUUCAAUCUCU
rnacentral:ribozyme from 13 species